CCGACCCAAAGCUAGACGAAACCUAAACCUGACUUUGGUUCCUCAACAGUGACGACGACGAUGAAGAUGGCGAUGACGAUGAGAGGCAGAAGGAGAGAUCUCUCUCCCCACCUAUCUUCGGGUUUGAAAGUCAAUAUGAUGAAAUAGAUUAUUGUAUGCCUGGAAUGAUCGGAUACGAGUGCUUAAGAAAAUCAAGGUUCGAUUUCGCUUUGAUGAUCUCUCGGAAUAUUUGAAAGAUUAUCUAACAAGAGUGAGUGGUGGUAAUGGGGAAGCCGAAGCAAGACGAUCGACCCAUUAGAAGAACAAGAGAAAGUUGCUAGAUGCCACCACAGAUGUCUCCUUCUCUACCUCAUCAUCAUCGCCAUCAUCGCCAUCAUCACCGUCGUUGCCGCAAGAUCUUCAGUGAAGUUCUCAAGAUUUUCAAGUUCAUGAGAGGGAAAGAUGAAAAAAUAGGAAAGAGGGAAAUAGAGGGAGAAGAGCCCGAGAGCAAGCAAUGGAUCGGUUUUCAAUGUUUCAUCGCCCUCAGCAGUCGUCCAGCAAGAGGAGAGACGGGUCGAAAUCGUUCAACCAUUGGAUUCGUCAGAAUCCACGUGUCAAGCAUCCGACAAAUCAUUGGACGCUCGUUGAAGCGUUAAUCGUUGGAGACAAACCGGAUCCCUUGAGGGACCCAAGCCCAAUAAUUUUUGUUAUUAAAAAAAGGCAACAAAUUCUCAAUUACAAUUAGGUUAUUCUAGGAUCACUCUUUCUUGCAUCUGGAAAUUGCACUUAGGCUGUCCUUGGAUCUUGCACAAGAGAGUGAGUGUUGAGUUGAUAUGGCGGGGAACUCUCUGAUGCCUAAGUUAGAUUCUUCAAAAUAGAUAGUUCCAGUAAUAAUGGAAAAGAUUGGUCCCAUUGGAGAGA